UGGGUUGUGGCUCAGUGGUAGAGCGCUCUCUAGCACGUGUAAGGCCCUGAGUUCAAACCUCAGCACCACAU
rnacentral:tRNA from 1 species